UACGGGGGGGGGCAAGCGUUGUUCGGAAUUACUGGGCGUAAAGGGCUCGUAGGCGGCCAACUAAGUCAGACGUGAAAUUCCUCGGCUUAACCGGGGAACUGCGUCUGAUACUGGAUGGCUUGAGAUUGGGAGAGGGAUGCGGAAUUCCAGGUGUAGCGGUGAAAUGCGUAGAUAUCUGGAGGAACACCGGUGGCGAAGGCGGCAUCCUGGACCAACACUGACGCUGAGUGAGCGAAAGCCAGGGGAGCAAACGGG
rnacentral:rRNA from 1 species